AGCGUAGACGGUGUGGCAAGUCUGAUGUGAAAGGCACGGGCUCAACCUGUGGACUGCAUUGGAAACUGUCAUACUUGAGUGCCGGAGGGGUAAGCGGAAUUCCUAGUGUAGCGGUGAAAUGCGUAGAUAUUAGGAGGAACACCAGUGGCGAAGGCGGUUUACUGGACGAUAACUGACGCUGAGGCUCGAAAGCGUGGGAGCAAACG
rnacentral:rRNA from 1 species